rnacentral:piRNA from 1 species
UGAAGCCCACUGGUGCCUGAGUCCUGC